GACAAUAAUGGCGGCGAUCUAGUAGACAGUAUUCACGAAAGUUUGACGUUUGUGUGUGGAAAAUGAAAUCUGCUGCCUAAGAUUACAUGGGUACAUUAAUAUUUAACAAAAGAAAAUAAUUGUAUGAUGGAUGUAUGUGACUAUAGUGACAGUAUAUUAGUGAAAAUGAAAUGCAUGAUGAAUCGAAAGACCAAAGAUUAAAUAAAAUUCCAUCGGUACGCUUUCUUGAUAAAAAGAAAACGGUAAUCACACUGAAACAAUCGUGGAAAGGAUGCGCUGCUGUUGAUGAAAUCUAAAACUACUUAAACGGCAAAUCAUCGAGGACGAUUUUUUCGUAUGCUCCGAAAUAGAGAUCGGACUCCUGUACUCUAGUCUCCAUGCUCGUACCUAUGAAGCAUUAAGCAGCGUAUAUAAUUUUCACAUGUCACCUGGUAUAACCUUUCAACACUGGUUUUAACAUAAAACCCAUAAUUUAUUAUCUCAGCCACAAUGACUCAAAGUAAUAAACACUUGCAAUAGAUUUCAAACUCAACGCGAAAUUAAGAUAUCAGAUUCAUCUUUUUCCCAAAAACAAGCAUUUUUGCUAAUCCACUAUGAAAAUCCGAAUGCCAAUGUUUACACAACACGUCAAUAAAUUGUGGCGUUUAAAAAAAAAUGUGUAUUUAUUUGUCCGCCAUAUUGUAGCCGCCAUUUUCAAUCUGCAAAUUUCGAUUUCAGAUUCGUAAUCAGCGACCCCAAAACCCCUUAAAUACAAAAGUAUCAAGUGAACCGCAUAAAAGGAAAACUGUAUGCAUGAAAGGGAGAAGCUGAUCUAUCUCGACUACGAAAUAUUACCUGCGAAAUAAAAUUAUAUAGAACAUACAUGCAAACUUAUCUUAAGAUUAUUCACUAUCCAAGUUCUCAAUCAGUUGAUCCUUACAAGAAAUAAAAAUAUCAACUUAAAUUUCUAGAAUUUUAAAACAAAUGCUGACGUGUCGAAUGGUGGUUUGAAUUUCCAAGUUUGGAUUCUGAUCACUAGGCUCCUUCAAAGAUCCAUACUAUAAGGUUAACAAUAUAAAUAAACAAAUAUAAAUAUCAAUCAAUAUUUAAUAGUAAUGUCCAUGACAAUAUUGGAAAUAUCUGUCUGACACAAGUUGAUAUAGAUAGUAAAUAGAUCGUUAUAGGAUGAGAAAAUCAGAACACACGUAUUAAAAUAUGAUAUUUCAAUAAUUAAAUCUUGUAGGGUACAUAGGCAGUUGCUCCAACUGGGAAGAAGACCCAACGCACUGUCCUUCCUAACUAACUACGAAAUUUUUAACACCAUGUUUGUUACGUACACAACCAUGCGAGCAUCUUGAACCUCUCGCCACGCAACUUUUUUGCAUUUGUCACAUCAAAUUGUUUGUCAAAUAUUCUAAUGUACAGAGUUAAACUUCACUUCCUGUGAAUUUCACACUGCUACUGACUCUUAAAAAAGUUUAUCGUAUCUGCUACUCCACUGCUUAUUGUCUGCACUGCCAAUUGCACAUUCAUCGUUUUAUUAUACAAAUUAAGGUACACGAACAGAAGUUCGAAUAUCUGAAAUUCAGUAAAUUAUAGUAUAAGGCAAAAUAAAUUCACAAUUUGAAAACUUAGCUACUUCAAAGUCACGAUAAUAUUACAAAAUAGCCUCCGCAAUGUUUAGUUACGCUAACGUUACUAACUUUAGCCUAAUUCAAUACCGAUUUAUUCUUUUUCGGUCUUAAGAUAAUCUGAAAUUGACAGCAAAGUAGUUUUAAUCCAACCGCUCAUACAGGUUACACGCAACGAUUAUUUUUUACUCACAGAG